CACGCUGCGGUCGUCAGUCGAACUGCCCACGCGAGUGCCGCGUCGUACUUGUGUUGUUUACAUCGGCGUCGCCGGCGCUCAGGAAUUCCUGGAGGAGCAGCAGCGGCCGAACGGAACUCGUGGGUGGAGGCACUGCUAUUGCGGAAGGGAAGCUGGAACGACGGUGGGGGAAGCCGAACCCGCCGCCACUGGCGCAGUUCACCCAGCCGGCUGUGAUGGAGUGAGCGCGCGCCGCCAUGCUGGCCGAGGAGCCCUUUGUGACGGUGGUGUCUGUGGACGGCGACGGCGCCGCCCCCAGCUCGCCGCCCCCCGCGCCGCCCCCGAC